AGGGGCUUGCCUCGUACGGCGAGUGAAGCGGCAAAGCUCAAAUUUGAAAUCCUCAGGGAAUUGUGUUUGAAGGUGGUCUCAGUUAGUUCAAACAUUCUUAAGUCCAUUGGAAAAUGGCGCCAUGGAGGGUGAUAGCCCCGUAAAGAAUCCGUUUGCUCUAUUUUCUUUGACCACCAAAGAGUCGAGUUGUUUGGGAAUGCAGCUCUAAGUGGGUGGUAAAUUCCAUCUAAAGCUAAAUAUUGGCGAGAGACCGAUAGCGAACAAGUACAGUGAUGGAAAGAUGAAAAGCACUUUGAAAAGAGAGUGAAAAAGUACGUGAAAUUGUUGAAAGGGAAGGGCUUGCAAGCAGACACAACCUUUUGGUUGGGCCAGCAUCGGGGCGAGGGGAAGGAAAAAAGAAAAGGAAAUGUAACUCUCGAGUAUUAUAAACCUCUUCCACAACUUCCAUCUCAUCCCGAGGCCUGCGGAUUCAUUCCUAGGAUGCUGGCGUAAUGGUUGCAAGUCGCCCGUCUUGAAACACGGACUCACACUUACGAUGCUGGUGGAAUGGCUUUAAACGACCCGUCUUGAAAACACGGGACCA
rnacentral:rRNA from 1 species